AAGAGUUCAUGAGGCAAAUACAGAACUUGCAGAAACAUUAGAAUCUCAACGUGAUGAAAUAACUAGUCAAGAGAAAAGGUAUUGUUUCGCUUGAAUAUUUGUGUCGAUGCAUAUGGACGAUGCCAGGCUUCGCUUGCACUAGGGAAUGUGAAGGUUAGACCACUAUGUUGAACGCAUUAAAUCGUUUCUUCUUGUAGAGUGGCAGAGGUAAUGUCGUUUGCAAAAGAAGAAAAAAGAAAAUAUUCCGAAACUAUCCGUGAAAAAGACAGAAGAGUUAAAGAGCUUGGGCGAUGGUAUAUAGAUUAAUUUAUCG
rnacentral:lncRNA from 1 species